GAAAAAGUGCCUUCCAUCAUUUUUGACACACACGACAGAGUCUAGAAUCUGCUCUCGUCUUCCGUCUCUUCUAUUCCAACCGAUGGAGGAGUUUCAGUUCGCCUUCUUCAAACUUUCAACAAUACUCGUAGCUCUUUUCGUCUUCUUAUCUAUCUAUUAGAUUUCAGGCAUUAUUCGCUCAAUCCUUGCUCGCAUCUUCUUUGUUUUCUCUUUGUCUUCUUUUCUUUCUUUGCUACUUUUAGAUCUAUUUAACUGUUUUCAAUUUCAUGGAUAAAUUUCCUUGGAUUUUGUAUUUUCCAACCAGAUGAUGCGGAAUUACCAUUUUAAGGGCUAUUCUCCGUCCAAUUUCAUUGAUGUUGCCUUCUUCUUGCUGAUUCACCUCUAUCUCUUCUUCUUCAUAAGGUAUUGAAAUUUAUUGUUCUACUAACUUAAAACAAAAAGGAUAUUUAAUUUUACUCCUAAUUCAUGUUGUUCUUCCUUUUCUUUACAUUUUUUGUAUAUGUUAUAUUUCUAUGAAUUGUGAAUCGCGAGUAUGUUUUCAGGCUCUUCUUAACUGCCUCUGCGCACACCCCUCACUCUCCAUAGCCGAGGAAAAGAACAGUAAGAACUCAUGAUAACCUAAUUUUGAUAAAGCACUAAAAUUGGUGUAUGGGUUGAGAUUGAAAUAAAGUGAAUGAAUUAAGUCAAAUGGCUAUUGGGAAAAAUUUAUGCAUAUAAAUUUCUAUUGACAGAUUUUAUUCAUUAUUUCAUGUCUUAGGAAUGCUUAAUUAGGCUUAAGAUGAUUUGGGAACUUUUCUUAAAAGUUGUGUUCGAGCAACAUCUGAUUGUUUAAACUUAAAUUCAUUUAUCUGGCUACAAAUUUAUGGAAUAAGGAAGGUAUGUUAAAGGGCAUGUAAUGGGAUUGCUUUAUAUGAUGACUCAUUGUUGUUGAUGGGAUUUGAAAGUAGAGGAAUAUUUAAAAGUAGAGGAGUAGGAAGUAGAGCACCGAGGAUUGAUAAAGAUUGUAUGAAGUUGCAAGACACUAAUGGUCCAGAAAAAGGACGAGAAAAUAGCACAGAUAUCCAAAACUUUAAGAAGCAGACAAGAGGAAUAGAGAUGUAAGGACAUGUAUAAGAGGAUACCUAAGCCAAGGAAGUAGCUUAAUUUUUUUUAUUUUUUUAUUCCUUGUUUAUUGGCAUCCACUGAUACAAUGUGUGUUCAACUAUAAAUUAUAGUUGUUUGUCUUAUUGGAAAUUCUCAUUCACCCAUCUUUAAGCCUAAUUUGUCUUAUUUUCUACUGAUAUGUCCAUGUCUUAUUAUCAACAUAUGUUAUCUUCACCUAUACUUUCUUAUUAUUCUCUACUUUUAUGCAAUUUUAUUAGAAUAUUCUUUAAGUUUGUAUUUUAUUAAGAUAUUUUGUCCAAAAGUAUAAGUGACGGAUGGAUCUUUCCAUCUUGCAUACUUGACUGAUUGAUUCACUUGGUUACUUCUUGACAAUUGGUUUUUUCUCCUGUUAGUUCAGUACCGAAUGCAUAUGGAUUAUCAGGUUUGUAUAUUUAUCAGUGGAAAAUAUUAUUGCAUUCAUAAAUACACUUUGUUUUAACAUAAAUAUAGCAUGUAUUAAAACAUUCUUCCAUGAUGAUUACUUUCAACUUUUACAAAUUAAAACUAUUACAGGAACCUAGAAAAAGGAUUAUUUUCAAGGUCAUGAAAGAGUACUCAAAGGUCCUCCUCCAUCACUUCAAGUGGCAAAGGCUGUGAACUAUUUAACUUGGUACCCUUCUUUUUAUCCAUCAAGGCCUCUACAUGCUGCUCUUUACUUCCUUUUUGGGUGUAAGUUUUUUUUUCUUCAUAUUUAUGUUUAUCAUUGUGAUUAUUGAUGGUAAGGCCCAGCUCUCUUCGCAUUCAGUUUCUUAAAUCAAUUGGUGUGUUUGCUUUUGUGCUUUUAAUUUAUUUCAUCACUUUCAAGUUGUAGUUACAAGUUCAAAGAUCAAUUGAUUUUUUUUUAAUAUUCCGGAACAUAUGAUGACUAAUAGCUUGUUUGGCCAAGCUGCAAAAAUUAACUUAUUUUGAGAAGUGUUUUUUCUCAAAAGUGCUUUUUUCAAAAGUAUUUUUUGGUGAGAAUCAGUUUGUGUUUGGCUAAUUAAUUUGAAAAGCACUUCUGAGCAGCAAUUAGUAUUUGGCCAAGUUUUUAAAAACUGCUUCUAAGUGUAUUUUUCUUAAAAGUGCUUUUCAAAAAAGUGCUUUUGGAGAGAAGCUACUUUUUUCUGCUUCUCCAAAACUGCUUCUGCUUCUCCUCAAAAGCACUUUUCUUUCUUCAAAAAGCUUGGUCAAACACUUUAACUUUGAAAAAAAAGUACUUCUUUUAAAAAGAAAAGUGCUUUUGGCUUUGGAGAAGCUGGGCCAAACAGGCGAUAAGUCUAGCAUUCAAAAACUUUCCUCUUAGUUAGAAAAGGUAGUAUUGUAAUGCAUGAAAUAACUGGUGAUCGAGGAGGUUUUAUAUUCAUACUUUGAAAGUUCUAGCUUUGAUAUUGCCUAUUAUUUGUGGCUACAAGAGUUGCUUUAAUUUUUAUUUGGCUGAAUAGGUAGGGUGAUUUAUGAUACAAUAACAUGUCGUAGUAUGUACACUUUCGGAAAUAAGUACUUCGUAAAAUUGUACUAUUGUUAGGUAUUGAGUUUUAUUUGUGAAUUGAAGUAUAUAACUCUUUCGCACAGUGUAUUAAUACCAUGAGAUAUUUUUCCGUUCUAUGAGUUUAUCUACUAAGAUUAAGGACAAAUAAAAUAAGAAAUCAAGGAUAGUUUUGCAUAAUUAUUGUAGUGUAUUUGGUAACAGUGGCAUGGUAUAACUUUGUUUGUUUCCUUGGUUAUAAGUCUUUGCAAAUUAAAUAUAAUGUACUACAAAUGUAUUUAUAAAAAAGUGCAAUUUAUGCAAAAAGGGUGACAAGAACAAACCAAAAUUUUGAGGAAAAAAAAAAACAUAUUACCUAGGCUGAGUGCCAUUUCAAACAUAAGGUGCUCUUGCAGAUAGAAUAACACAAAAACGUCAUUAUUGUUACUUAGUUGAUCAACCAUUAGAAGUUUGUUGAUUGACCGUUGUUUGGGAAGUUCUAGAAUAAGUACCAUCUUGAGCUAACUAUCUUGAACACAAUUUUAUGUUUGAUUAUAUCUUCUUCAGUAUUUCGUGAACUCUAAAUUAUUUUCAUUGUUGACUCUGGUAGAAAUUGAUUAUUCAUCAAUGGGAGAUUUAAAAGAACCCCAUGACUGAGGUAUGUAUUAGGUCUUGAGCACUACCAGCUUACUCAAUAUAUUUAGAUAUAAAGAAUGUGUUUUAUUGUAAUUGUCUUGAAGAGUUUGUACUUGAAUUAAACUAUCUACUCAGUUUCCUUUCGAUAUUUGACUUAUGGAACUUCAGUUUGAUACUUUAUGUGAUAAAUACAGUCAAUAAAUCAAUCUAUCUAUGUCUUGAAACAGAGAAGAAACUUUUCAAUUAAGGUUUGUGAAGAAAAUGAGAAAAGCAAAGUGGAUCACUUUUUUAUAUUUCCCUUUUCGUGUAUUAGAAAAUUUUAUUAUUGACAAAGACCACACUAAGAUAAUGCUGAGAUGACAUAAAAGAAAUAUUAAUAUCAGUCCAUAUUUAUUCUUGCAGUGAUGACAAAAAAUAUAUCAAUGUAUUUACUUCAUAUCCUUAUAUGUUCUUUAUAACGAAUGAACUUUUUGUGUCACUUAAUAGUCAUAUGAUAUUAAUGUAUCUUUUUCUUUUAUAUGAGGGAAAGUAAAAUGCAUUGACCAACUUUUCUGGACAUCAUUUGCAUUUCACAUAAGUUGUGUCAGCAUUAGCUUAUCAAAGAAAACAUAAGGCUUAGCAUUUUUUCGAUUUUUUCGUUAAUUGUUAGGUGGUUAAAUCUUAAUGAUAGGAAGAUCCUAUACUGUUUUGAUAAAAUAUUAUAUUUGAUGUAUCUUUAGAUUGUAGUAACAGUGUCUUGCUAUAAAAGGCCAUAAUUUGACUCUUGAGUAUAGUAUUUUUCGAGUAGUUUAUUUGUGGUGAUCGCACUUAUCUCUUUAUGUCGUGAUAUUUUUCAAUUCUUGCUAUCAUUUAAUAUUUUCUAUCUCUAAAUAUUUGACUUCUUAUUCUCUACUUGGAAUAGGACAGGUUGUCUGAAGAACACAUAGUAGCAGAUGUAUGAAUGCAAUACACAAAAUAUUUGCCAUACUUUAUGUGGCUCUUAGUUGGACUAUGUUCUCUUUUGUUUAUAGUACAAACACGGAUAGCAACUGAUAUAUUUAGUUGAUCACGUAGCAUAAGAUAGUGGGUAGAAAACGAUGAAGAAAUAAGGCGUACUUGAGCUUGAGUUUGAUUUUGUAAGUAUAUUUAAAGGAAGUUGAAGAAAAGGAAAUAUUUAGCUCAAUUUUGAUAAAUCUAGGGAAGCAAU
rnacentral:lncRNA from 1 species